CUCGUAGGGUGCGAGCGUUGUCCGGAAUUAUUGGGCGUAAAGAGCUCGUAGGCGGUGUGUCGCGUCGGCCGUGAAAACCUGCAGCUUAACUGUGGGCGUGCGGUCGAUACGGGCAUCACUGGAGUUCGGCAGGGGAGACUGGAAUUCCUGGUGUAGCGGUGAAAUGCGCAGAUAUCAGGAGGAACACCGGUGGCGAAGGCGGGUCUCUGGGCCGAUACUGACGCUGAGGAGCGAAAGCGUGGGGAGCGAACAGG
rnacentral:rRNA from 1 species